rnacentral:rRNA from 1 species
UACGUAGGGCGCAAGCGUUAUCCGGAAUUAUUGGGCGUAAAGAGCUCGUAGGCGGCUUGUCGCGUCGGCUGUGAAAACCCGCGGCUCAACUGCGGGCCUGCAGCCGAUACGGGCAGGCUAGAGUUCGGUAGGGGAGACUGGAAUUCCUGGUGUAGCGGUGAAAUGCGCAGAUAUCAGGAGGAACACCGGUGGCGAAGGCGGAUCUCUGGGCCGAUACUGACGCUGAGGAGCGAAAGCGUGGGGAGCGAACAGG